AUCAUGGCUCAGGACGAACGCUGGCGGCGUGCCUAAUACAUGCAAGUCGAACGCGUCUCCGUUAAUGAUUUUAGGUGCUUGCACUUGAAAGAUUUAACAUUGAGACGAGUGGCGAACUGGUGAGUAACACGUGGGUAACCUGCCCUUGAAGUAGGGGAUAACACUUGGAAACAGGUGCUAAUACCGUAUAACAACCAAAACCACCUGGUUUUGGUUUAAAAGACGGCUUCGGCUGUCACUUUAGGAUGGACCCGCGGCGUAUUAGCUUGUUGGUAAGGUAACGGCUUACCAAGGCGAUGAUACGUAGCCGACCUGAGAGGGUAAUCGGCCACAUUGGGACUGAGACACGGCCCAAACUCCUACGGGAGGCAGCAGUAGGGAAUCUUCCACAAUGGACGAAAGUCUGAUGGAGCAACGCCGCGUGAGUGAUGAAGGGUUUCGGCUCGUAAAACUCUGUUGUUGGAGAAGAACAGGUGUCAGAGUAACUGUUGACAUCUUGACGGUAUCCAACCAGAAAGCCACGGCUAACUACGUGCCAGCAGCCGCGGUAAUACGUAGGUGGCAAGCGUUGUCCGGAUUUAUUGGGCGUAAAGCGAGCGCAGGCGGUUUUUUAGGUCUGAUGUGAAAGCCUUCGGCUUAACCGGAGAAGUGCAUCGGAAACCGGGAGACUUGAGUGCAGAAGAGGACAGUGGAACUCCAUGUGUAGCGGUGAAAUGCGUAGAUAUAUGGAAGAACACCAGUGGCGAAGGCGGCUGUCUGGUCUGUAACUGACGCUGAGGCUCGAAAGCAUG
rnacentral:rRNA from 1 species